rnacentral:misc_RNA from 1 species
GUUUAAUUAUCUUCCAUUAAUGCUGUUUCUAUUGACUCGCUCAUACCAGAGCUCUUAAAAGUUUUCAACUGCAACGCUUCACUUCCCUGUUAAUUAGCAUUUGCAAGAACAUCAUUUCCACCCCUGAUAGUUUCUUCUUACAGACUCGUGUUACCGCUUGUAAAAUUUUCAAACUCGUUAGUUUCAGCGUCAAACUCGAAAUAUGAAAUUCAAAAUUUUAAGCAACAGCUUUGCGGCAAGUGAUCAUUGCAAGGGUUGGAAG